rnacentral:rRNA from 1 species
AUGAAGUGGUGGAAGCUCAAGGGGGAGGUAGCUCAGGUGUUUAAGGAGAGGGUAAUUAAGGAGGGCCCUUGGGAGGAAGGAGGGGAUGCGGACAAUGUGUGGAUGAAGAUGGUGACUUGCAUUCGUAAGGUGGCCUCGGAGGAGUUUGGAGUGUCCAGGGGAAGGAGAAGCGAAGAUAAGGAUACCUGGUGGUGGAAUGAUGAUGUCCAGAAGGCGAUUAAAGAGAAGAAAGAUUGCUUCAGACGCCUAUACCUGGAUAGGAGUGCAGACAACAUAGAGAAGUACAAGAUGGCGAAGAAGGCCGCAAAGCAAGCUGUUGGUGAAGCAAGGGGUCGGGCAUAUGAGGACCUCUACCAACGGUUAGGCACGAAGGAAGGUGAAAGGGACAUCUAUAAGAUGGCUAAGAUCCGGGAGAGGAAGACGAGGGAUAUUGGCCAAGUCAAAUGCAUCAAGGACGGAGCAGGCCAACUCUUGGUGAAGGACGAGGAGAUUAAGCAUAGAUGGCGGGAGUACUUCGACAAGCUGUUCAAUGGGGAGAAUGAGAGUUCUACCAUUGAACUGGACGACUCCUUUGAUGAGACCAGCAUGCGUUUUGUGCGGUGCAUCCAGGAGUCUGAGGUGAAGGAGGCUUUAAAAAGGAUGAAAGGAGGCAAGGCGAUGGGCCCUGAUUGUAUCCCCAUUGAGGUGUGGAAAGGUCUCGGGGACAUAGCGAUAGUAUGGCUAACCAAACUUUUCAACCUCAUUUUUCGGGCAAACAAGAUGCCAGAAGAAUGGAGACGGAGUAUAUUAGUACCAAUCUUCAAGAACAAGGGGGAUGUUCAGAGUUGUACUAAUUACCGUGGAAUUAAGCUGAUGAGCCAUACAAUGAAGCUAUGGGAGAGAGUCAUUGAGCACCGCUUAAGAAGAAUGACAAGCGUGACCAAAAAUCAGUUUGGUUUCAUGCCUGGGAGGUCGACCAUGGAAGCCAUUUUCUUGGUACGACAACUUAUGGAGAGAUAUAGGGAGCAAAAGAAGGACUUGCAUAUGGUGUUCAUUGACUUGGAGAAGGCCUAUGAUAAGAUACCGCGGAAUGUCAUGUGGUGGGCCUUGGAGAAACACAAAGUUCCAGCAAAGUACAUUACCCUCAUCAAGGACAUGUACGAUAAUGUUGUGACAAGUGUUCGAACAAGUGAUGUCGACACCGAUGACUUCCCGAUUAAGAUAGGACUGCAUCAGGGGUCAGCUUUGAGCCCUUAUCUUUUUGCAUUGGUCAUGGAUGAGGUCACAAGGGAUAUACAAGGAGAUAUCCCAUGGUGUAUGCUCUUUUUGGAUGAUGUGGUGCUAGUUGACGAUAGUCAGACGGGGGUAAAUGGGAAGUUAGAGUUAUGGAGACAAACCUUGGAAUUGAAAGGGUUUAGGCUUAGUAGAACUAAAACCGAGUACAUGAUGUGCGGUUUCAGUACUACUAGGUGUGAGGAGGAGGAGGUUAGCCUUGAUGGCCAGGUGGUACCUCGGAAGGACACCUUUCGGUAUUUGGGGUCAAUGUUGCAGGAGGAUGGGGGUAUUGAUGAAGAUGUGAACCAUCGAAUCAAAGCCGGAUGGAUGAAGUGGCGCCAAGCUUCUGGCAUUCUAUGUGACAAGAGAGUGCCACAAAAGCUAAAAGGCAAGUUCUACAGGACGGCGGUUCGACCCGCAAUGUUGUAUGGCGCAGAGUGUUGGCCGACUAAAAGGCGACAUGUUCAACAAUUAGGUGUAGCGGAGAUGCGUAUGUUGAGAUGGAUGUGUGGCCACACGAGGAAGGAUCGAGUCCGGAAUGAUGAUAUACGAGAUAGAGUUGGGGUAGCACCAAUUGAGGAGAAGCUUGUCCAACAUCGUCUGAGAUGGUUUGGGCAUAUUCAGCGAAGGCCUCCAGAAGCUCCAGUGCAUAGCGGACGGCUAAAGCGUGCGGAGAAUGUCAAGAGAGGGCGGGGUCGACCGAAUUUGACAUGGGAGGAGUCCGUUAAGAGAGACCUGAAAGAUUGGAGUAUCGACAAAGAGCUAGCUAUGGACAGGGGUGCGUGGAAGCUUGCUAUCCAUGUGCCAGAGCCAUGA